GGGCGACCCAGAGGAAGGUGCGGAAGAGGCGGGGGAAGAUGGAGGGGAUGGCGGAGAGGGAGGAGGCGAAGGAGACGGGCUUGGCGGCGUAGAGAGAAGCGACGGUGAAGACGACGGCCGCGGUGGAGAGGAGGGAGAAGGUGAAGAGGAAGAGGAGGUAGGUGAGCUGGUAGAGGAGGAGGAGAGCCCACUGGGGGCCAUCGACGGAGGCGGUGGAGCUCAGCCGGAGGAGGAUCGGGUGGGUGAAGAGGGUGUGGGCGAGGACGGCGAAGGAGAGGGGGAAGACGAGGGUGAGGGUGAGAAGGGAG
rnacentral:misc_RNA from 1 species